rnacentral:tRNA from 1 species
GCGCCUGUGGCGGAAUUGGUAGACGCGUUAGACUUAGGAUCUAAUGUCUCACGGCGUGCAGGUUCGACUCCUGUCAGGCGCACCC